rnacentral:rRNA from 1 species
CCUACGGGAGGCAGCAGUGAGGAAUAUUGGUCAAUGGACGAGAGUCUGAACCAGCCAAGUAGCGUGAAGGAUGACUGCCCUAUGGGUUGUAAACUUCUUUUAUAUGGGAAUAAAACGUUCCACGUGUGGGAUUUUGUAUGUACCAUAUGAAUAAGGAUCGGCUAACUCCGUGCCAGCAGCCGCGGUAAUACGGAGGAUCCGAGCGUUAUCCGGAUUUAUUGGGUUUAAAGGGAGCGUAUGUGGAUUGUUAAGUCAGUUGUGAAAGUUUGCGGCUCAACCGUAAAAUUGCAGUUGAAACUGGCAGUCUUGAGUACAGUAGAGGUGGGCGGAAUUCGUGGUGUAGCGGUGAAAUGCUUAGAUAUCACGAAGAACUCCGAUUGCGAAGGCAGUUCACUGGACUGCAACUGACACUGAGGCUCGAAAGUGUGGGUAUCAAACAGGAUUAGAUACCCGUGUAGUC